UUGCUCGGCAGCACAUAUACUAAAACUGGAAUGGCACAGAGGAGAUUAGCAUAACCGCUGUGCAAAAAUGAUACAAAGAUUUGUGGAGAGUUCCAAAUUUUU